CGGCGGAUGGCUUCGCCGGAGGACGAGAAGUGGGUUUGGCAGUAGCAUUUGGUUUGGAUCUAGGCUUGGGAGCAGAUUUUUUUGGGUCAUCCAUGGGUUUGGAUGCUAAGGGUUUAACUGUAACCGGGUUUGGUUUCUGAUUUCCAGGUUCGGAUUCUGAUUCAGACUCAGACUCCGACCCGGAUUCCUCUGCAGAAGAAGAGGAAUCUUCAUACUGUAACCGGGUUUGGUUUCAGAGUUCCAGGUUCGGAUUCUGAUUCAGACUCAGACUCGGACCCGGAUUCCUCUGCAGAAGAAGAGGAAUCUUCAGGUGGUUGAGGUUUUUUUGGAGCGGCAACUGGUGGUUUUUUCAUGGGUGGUUGUUGUUUUUCGGAUUCGGGUUCGGGUUCUGACUCUGAUUCAGAUUCGGAUUCAGAAUCUGCGUUUCCCGGGGAAGAAACUUCCAUUUCGUCGCCGGAUCCUUCUUCCUCUUCGGCAUGCUUCUUGGUCAUUUGAUUUGAAAGGGUAAAGGGUUUAGGAGAGUGGAUUAUAGCUCUGUCUCCCUGACUCUCUCUCUCUUGUUUUAGCGACGUCAAAUCAAGGGCUUCAUAACUAUGAUAAGUGAGAAUGCUAUUGGGAA
rnacentral:lncRNA from 1 species